CUAGCCGUAAACGAUGGAGACUAGGUGUUGCCCGUAUCGACCCGGGCAGUGCCGUAGCUAACGCGUUAAGUCUCCCGCCUGGGGAGUACGCACGCAAGUGUGAAACUCAAAGGAAUUGACGGGGGCCCGCACAAGCGGUGGAGUAUGUGGUUUAAUUCGAUGCAACGCGAAGAACCUUACCAGGGCUUGACAUGUCGCGAACCCUCUUGAAAGGGAGGGGUGCCUUCGGGAGCGCGAACACAGGUGG
rnacentral:rRNA from 1 species